UUGCAAGAAAAGAGGGAAAGAAAGGAAGAAAGGAAGGAAGAAAGAAAAAGAGAGAGAAAAAGAAAUUGAGAAAGUGAUUGAUUCUCUUUCUUCUUCUUUCUUCUUUGUUUGACU
rnacentral:ribozyme from 1 species